ACUCCUACGGGAGGCAGCAGUGGGGAAUAUUGCACAAUGGGGGAAACCCUGAUGCAGCCAUGCCGCGUGUGUGAAGAAGGCCUUCGGGUUGUAAAGCACUUUCAGCGAGGAGGAAAGGGUGUGUGUUAAUACCAUACAUCUGUGACGUUACUCGCAGAAGAAGCACCGGCUAACUCCGUGCCAGCAGCCGCGGUAAUACGGAGGGGGUUAGCGUUGUUCGGAAUUACUGGGCGUAAAGCGCGCGUAGGCGGACUGGAAAGUUGGGGGUGAAAUCCCAGGGCUCAACCCUGGAACUGCCUCCAAAACUAUCAGUCUAGAGUUCGAGAGAGGUGAGUGGAAUUCCGAGUGUAGAGGUGAAAUUCGUAGAUAUUCGGAGGAACACCAGUGGCGAAGGCGGCUCACUGGCUCGAUACUGACGCUGAGGUGCGAAAGUGUGGGGAGCAAACAGGAUUAGAUA
rnacentral:rRNA from 1 species